ACGCCAGUAGUUGGAUAAAACAUCCAAAGUCGGCACAGUCAAAGUUCACAACAACAAUGGAGGAAUUAACUGCAUCCUCAUUCCGCAGGGCAACAGGCCAUUUUCAGCAACCCCUGAAAUUCUUAAUUGAGGCUAAGUGCCCAUUUUCAGCUCGAACAAUGAAAAUUAAAGAGGCCUGUGCAAAUGUUGGGAUUUCCCUCUUGAAUGUGAUGCAAGGGAUGGUUCGCUGCACCUCAAAACAAAAUUUGAAUAUUGGCAUCAGAUUCAAGGACACCACCUGAAAGACACCCAAUGCUGUGAUUUGCUAGUGUGGAUUCCUAGUGACACUCAAAUAAUUCACAUUGACAAAGAUGUAUUAUGGUCAACCUUUUAAGCGUGAUAGAGUUUAAUUAUAAUAAUGAAGUAUUUUUGCAGUCUAAAACACACACACAUAACCACAUGUACAAAUACUUUAUUAUGAUAUCAGUGGUGCAUCUAUCAAAGUUAUGUAAUUACAUGUAUAUUUAUUGAAUAAACAUUAUAGACAGAGUUUUUCUUAUUUUA